rnacentral:rRNA from 1 species
GCAAGUCGAGCGAAGAACAAUAAAGCUUGCUUUAUUGUUACUGAGCGGCGAACGGGUGAGUAAUACUUGGAUAAUCUGCCUUUAGGACUGGGAUAACCUCAGGAAACUGAAACUAAUACCAGAUAUGACCACAGGCACUAAGGUGCUAGUGAUAAAAUGUUUUUUCGCCUAAAGAUGAGUCCAAGUCGCAUCAGGUUGUUGGUGGGGUAAAGGCCUACCAAGCCUAUGACGCGUAGCAGGUCUUAGCGGAUGAUCUGCCACAUGGGGACUGAGAUACGGCCCUGACUCCUACGGGAGGCAGCAGUGAGGAAUAUUGGGCAAUGGACGCAAGUCUGACCCAGCGAUGUCGCGUGAAGGAUGAAGGCCCUAGGGUUGUAAACUUCUGUCAGCAGGGAAGAUAAUGACGGUACCUGCAGAGGAAGCCCCGGCUAACUCCGUGCCAGCAGCCGCGGUAAUACGGAGGGGGCAAACGUUACUCGGAUUUACUGGGCGUAAAGGGUUCGUAGGCGGUUAUUUAAGUUAGAUGUGAAAGCUUGAAGCUUAACUUCAAAAUAGCAUCUAAAACUGGAUUACUAGAUUCUUGGAGAGGUUGAUGGAAUUACCGGUGUAGCGGUGAAAUGCGUAGAUAUCGGUAGGAACACCAGUGGCGAAAGCGAUCAACUGGCCAAGUUAUGACGCUGAGGGACGAAAGCGUGGGUAGCAAACAGGAUUAGAUACCCUGGUAGUCCACGCUGUAAACGAUGAGUACUAGCUGUUGGAUCUGGUGUAAGAGGUUUAGUGGCGCAGCUAACGCGAUAAGUACUCCGCCUGGGGACUACGGCCGCAAG